rnacentral:rRNA from 1 species
GCUUGCCCCUCUAAGUAGCAGUCGCCUGCGGUCGAAGCGCAGCCAGCCGCUACAGGGCGCCCCCGGGAGCGCCGAGAGUCGCGUCCGUGCGACGGCACGCGGCUACAUAGGCCGAAGCGGUAGCACGUGAAGAGGGGAACAACUUGCAGCGCUGGGCGACCCACAGCCAGAUGCCGGGCCCACGCCACCGACUGCGCGGCGGCCAUUUUGCUGCGCGCAUUUUGGGGGCCAGCGGGCCGGCCGACGGGCCACCAUGCGCGUUCCAUAGUCCGGCGUAUGUAAUUUUGCCACGUAGCUCCAACAGCGUUCGCGCGCGGUGCCAUUUGCCUCCAUGCCUGGAUCGCGGCAGUGGCCAGGACCGGGUGACAACCAGCAUGCCAAUUGGAAGCUGUCCGGAUGCUUGCAGGGUUGUACAGCCCCCAGAGGGCGAGCAACCG